CAAUAGCGUAUAUUUAAGUUGCUGCAGUUAAAAAGCUCGUAGUUGGAUUUCGGGUGGGAAUGGCCGGUCCGCCGUUUCGGUGUGCACUUGCUACGCCCACCUUGCUGCCGGGGACGUGCUCUUGAGUUCACGCUCGGGACACGGAGUCGGCGAGGUUACUUUGAGUAAAUUAGAGUGUUCAAAGCAGGCCUACGCUCUGAAUACAUUAGCAUGGAAUAACACGAUAGGACUCUGGCCUAUCUAGUUGGUCUGUAGGACCGGAGUAAUGAUUAAGAGGGACAGUCGGGGGCAUUCGUAUUUCAUUGUCAGAGGUGAAAUUCUUGGAUUUAUGAAAGACGAACUACUGCGAAAGCAUUUGCCAAGGAUGUUUUCAUUAA
rnacentral:rRNA from 1 species